UCCUUAGAUGUUCUGGGCCGCACGCGCGCUACAAUGAUGAAUUCAACGAGUUUAUAACCUUGGUUGAAAAGCCUGGGUAAUCUUUUGAACUUUCGUCGUGAUGGGGCUAGACCCUUGCAAUUAUUGGUCUCCAACGAGGAAUUCCUAGUAAACGCAAGUCAUCAGCUUGCAUUGAUUACGUCCCUGCCCUUUGUACACACCGCCCGUCGCACCUACCGAUUGAAUGGUCCGGUGAAAUCUUCGGAUUGAGACUUUGUUUUCUUCACGGAAAACGCUGUUUUAAAAAGUUGAUUAAACCUUACCAUUUAGAGGAAGGUGAAGUCGUAACA
rnacentral:rRNA from 1 species